rnacentral:rRNA from 1 species
GACGAACGCUGGCGGCGUGCUUAACACAUGCAAGUCGAACGGAAAGGCCCUGCUUUUGUGGGGUGCUCGAGUGGCGAACGGGUGAGUAACACGUGAGUAACCUGCCCUUGACUGUGGGAUAACUUCAGGAAACUGGGGCUAAUACCGGAUAGGAGCUCCUGCUGCAUGGUGGGGGUUGGAAAGUUUCGGCGGUUGGGGAUGGACUCGCGGCUUAUCAGCUUGUUGGUGGGGUAGUGGCUUACUAAGGCUUUGACGGGUAGCCGGCCUGAGAGGGUGACCGGCCACAUUGGGCCUGGGAUACGGCCCAGACUCCUACGGGAGGCAGCAGUGGGGAAUAUUGCACAAUGGGCGGAAGCCUGAUGCAGCAACGCCGCGUGCGGGAUGACGGCCUUCGGGUUGUAAACCGCUUUCGCCUGUGACGAAGCGUGAGUGACGGUAAUGGGUAAAGAAGCACCGGCUAACUACGUG